rnacentral:rRNA from 1 species
AACGAACGCUGGCGGCAUGCCUAACACAUGCAAGUCGAACGAAGGCUUCGGCCUUAGUGGCGCACGGGUGCGUAACGCGUGGGGAUCUGCCCUUUGCUUCGGAAUAACAGUUAGAAAUGACUGCUAAUACCGGAUGAUGUCGUAAGACCAAAGAUUUAUCGGCAAAGGAUGAACCCGCGUAGGAUUAGCUAGUUGGUGGGGUAAAGGCCUACCAAGGCGACGAUCCUUAGCUGGUCUGAGAGGAUGAUCAGCCACACUGGGACUGAGACACGGCCCAGACUCCUACGGGAGGCAGCAGUGGGGAAUAUUGGACAAUGGGCGAAAGCCUGAUCCAGCAAUGCCGCGUGAGUGAUGAAGGCCUUAGGGUUGUAAAGCUCUUUUACCAGGGAUGAUAAUGACAGUACCUGGAGAAUAAGCUCCGGCUAACUCCGUGCCAGCCGCCGCCGCAGUAA